rnacentral:rRNA from 1 species
GCUGGCGGCGUGCCUAACACAUGCAAGUCGAGCGGUAAGGCCCCUUCGGGGGUACACGAGUCGGCGAACGGGUGAGUAACGCGUGGGUAAUCUACCCAGAAGCAGGGGAUAGCUCCGGGAAACCGGAGGUAAUACCGCAUACGACCUUUCCGGCGCGAGUCGGAUUGGUGAAAGAUGGGGAUCUUCGGACCUGUCGCUUCUGGAUGAGCCCGCGUCCGAUUAGCUAGUUGGUGAGGUAAUGGCUCACCAAGGCAUCGAUCGGUAGCCGGCCUGAGAGGGUGAUCGCCCACAUUGGGACUGAGACACGGCCCAGACUCCUACGGGAGGCAGCAGUGGGGAAUUUUGGGCAAUGGGGGAAACCCUGACCCAGCGACGUCGCGUGGAGGAUGAAGGUCUUCGGAUUGUAAACUCCUGUCAGAUGGGAAGAAGGCCCCUGGGUUAAUACCCCA